UACGUAGGGUCCGAGCGUUGUCCGGAAUUAUUGGGCGUAAAGGGCUUGUAGGCGGUUAGUCACGUCGGAAGUGAAAUCUCAGGGCUCAACCCUGAGCCUGCUUCCGAUACGGGCAAACUAGAGGGAUGCAGGGGAGAACGGAAUUCCUGGUGGAGCGGUGGAAUGCGCAGAUAUCAGGAGGAACACCGGUGGCGAAGGCGGUUCUCUGGGCAUUUCCUGACGCUGAGAAGCGAAAGCGUGGGGAGCAAACAGG
rnacentral:rRNA from 1 species